UUCCCCCUGCUCAGGGGCAUAUGGGAGGAGCACACCUUGCUGGGGGUUCAGAGCCAGGGGUGGCUACUCUCGGCAGAACUGGGAGGUCAGCAGGCCCCACCUGAGUCUGGUUCCUCUCUCCUGUGCCCUUCCUGGCCCUCCCUCAACCUGCUGUGGGUUUCCACCUGGCCUGCUUCCCUAGCCUGUGCCCAUGUCUCUGGCUCCAUUCUCACUCUCCCCCUCUCCAAUCUAACAUAGGAACAGAAGGUUCUUAGAGUGAGCUGAAGGGGCUCAUCCGGGGGGUUUCCGAUGCUGCCCGCCUCCAGGGCCCACCCCUGCUUCAGACAGGUACUCCAGCUCCUACUGAGUCAUCCGUGGGGCUCUGGCAAGACUUCAAAUGAAGAAAGGGUUCUGCUGCUAAGACAGGACAGAAGAACAUUUGUGGUAGGAUGUUGUAUGGGAACCCUUCUGUUACUUUCCACUUGAGUCUAAAACCCCAAAGCUAAGGGCACCAGGCCCUAAGCCUCCCCCACCACCUUCUAAAGGGAGACCCAGACCUUCCCGGGUCAAGGUGCAGGACCGUGACCUGCUCCCCAGGUCCUGCCUCCGUCAUUUGGUGGGGAUUUGUUGGAGUAGGGCAGUGGCUCCUAACCCUGGCUGCCUUUUACAAUCACCUCGGGAGCGUUAACAAAGGAUGCCGGGACCCAUCCUCAGGAUGCUGAGUUAACUAGCCUGGAGUGGGGUCAGCACACUGGAAUUUCUUAAUCAGCUUUUCAUGCACUCGAAUGUGCUGCAGGGGUAGAGAAUCACCACCUAAGGAGUCACUGCUCCAGGGAAAGUCUGCGGCUUUUACCUCCCUGCUCCUCCCCGUAAAGGACAGGAUCCUCCCAGCCUCUGCCCAAGCCAAGUGAGGGGCCUCCAGUGGAGCCACGUGCUGGUAUGUCAGGUGCGCAUGAGAAGGGGAAGCAGACCUCUUAUUCCCCAGCUGGGUACACCCUUAUGCAGAGGCCUUUGUGCCACUGCACCAGGAGAGAGGGCAGGACAGAUUGCCGCAGCAAGGGGCAGCCAGCCUCCGAGUGCAGCACAAGAAUGCCGGCUGGGGCAAGAAUGGGUGGAUCGCCUAUGUGCCCAGCACCAAGGAAGGCCACCCUAGCUUGAGACAUCUGGCCAGAACCCUGUCUCAAAGGCCUGACUGCUAGAGACCUUACAGCACCAGGUGGGAAGGGUCUUGUAGGCCCGCAAGCAGGUGGUAUCUGGACACCUGAAGGACCAAGGGCACUGACAGCCCAAGAGGACCAGAGCCAACCCAGGCAGUAAAGAGACACUGCCCCCUUUUCUACUCCCUGUCCCAACUGAAGAUGGAGACCCAGGACAGUGUUGGGGAGGAGCCAGGAAACAGCAGACCCUGUGCUCCCCAUCGUGGGUCCUUCAGACCUUGGGUCGAAGCCAAAAUAGAGAAAUGGAGAAUGAGAGAUGUGGGCACCAUACUGGACAUCAGAUUGAAGCUUCAAACUGAAACAGACUGGUUAGACUUUUUAACAGCUAAAAGUGACCAGGGUCUGCCUGAGCUGGCACUAAGGAAUGGGAAGUGGAGGCUCAACGGAGAUGUCUGAAGGCAGUGGUUGGAAGAAAGGUAAAGCUGGUCAUGGCUGUAUCCCAUCAAAUUAGGGCUGUUCAAUAAACAGGUUGGGGCUCCCUAAGAUUUCAUUUAAAGAAAGGAUAAUAUGGCUGGAAAAGUUGGAAAACACUACCCUAGUCUAACACCUUCAAACUAUGAGAAAACCUGUACUCAGAGAGGUUAAGUGACUUUCCCAAGGUCACACAGCUAACAGAUACCAGAGGCAAUUAAGAGCAUGCACUCCAGAAUUGGACAGGCCUGAGUUUUUACCACAUCUGUAGGGCUCUCAUCUUUUCCUGUCUUAGAAUCCCUUGAGAGUUGUGGCUGGGCCAUGCCCAUCUUUAUGCAUCUGGCAGUAUUUAUAUCUUUGAGUGUCAGCAAUGAGCCAGAAUUGACCACAAGGAUCUGAAGGCUCUAAAGCCCUGCUUGGAUCCUCCUCCAGCAGGGAGGAAGGGCAGGAGUGGCAGGGUUGGAUUUGGGAGCCUGUGUUUGGGGUCCUUCUAUGGACCCAGUCAGGCCAACCCUCUGACUUGGGCAUAACUGUUGGGGAGGUAGUGAAGCCUUUCAUCCUCUAUCUCUCCAGCUGGCUGUACUGUUCCUCCUGGUGAUGGGCCAGGCCCUCCCCACACCUGCUCUGGGGGCCUCAGGGAAGAUGUGUGGCAGAUGCUGGGAGGAAAACCCAGCAGACCCUCACAACCAUGUUCACCCCUCUCACCCAGCCUCUUCCCUCCUGGGACUGGUUUUACUAGAGCCCUGUGUGUCCAUAUUUUCUUCCUAUACUUUUCAUUUCCAUGCUCCUUCCUUUCGGGAACUCUCCUCUGAAAAUAGAGAUGAUUUUUCCAGGACUGCCUCCCAAUUUAAUCUCACCUUUCUUCUGUUUCUUCCUAAUGGAUGCCUGACCGAUGUUCCCUGGCAGGGCCAGUCAGAGGCCAUGGCCAGUGUGACCAAAAGUUAAAUGGCCAGGUCAUGGGUGGGCUUUGGGAAAUGGGGGUUUUCCAAUGUAUGCAAAGAUUUCUUCUGUUCUCUUGACUGUUCAUGUGGAGACAAUUUAAAACACACCCUCUCCCCUCUCCCCUGAAGGCCAAGGCCUGAGGAGAAGGAGUCGAGAAUGAGGGUGGGAGGUGGAGGGGUCUGGUGGCAGCUGGUCCUCCCAGGCCCAGGGCUGGCAGGGCUUCUCUCCCUCCUGGGUUAGGGGAAGGGACACACAGGAGAAAGAUGGGGGCGUGGUUUGGGCAAAAGGGCCCUCCUUUUAUAGGCCCCAGGGGUGAAUAUGCUUUGCACCAUCUUCUAAGAGAGCUGGGGGUUGAGGGGCAGUUCUGCUGCCCCUGGAACCAUACCAUGCUCUGAUAGAGAUUGUGCCUUGCCCGACAGGCAGAGAGAUCUGUGGACAGCAGAGCACCAGAAGGGGAUGCUGGCUACUCGUUGGCUGUAGGGACAGGUAGGUUCUGCCAAAAGGCCCUGGAUAGCUAAGAUGAUCCUCCGUGAUAUAAGGCAGAAGGCCAGCUGCUUUAGCCCUUGGGUCAUCAGGAAGAUGCAGAGAUUACACCUACUCUGCUGAGAGGUAACCCAGCCUAGAGCAAUCACUCAGAGGAGCUGGGGGACACUGAAAAAAAAGAGGAUCCAGCUACUUGGAAGAAACUCUGGGCGUCAGGUUAGGGCUGCUGGAGAGUUUAGACCAUAAGUGGGUGUAACAGAAGGAGGGAGAAUGGCCCAGGGAUGGGGCCUGGAAUAAGCAUGGAGCUUCUGUUCUCUGAUUUGAAGGUCUGGGUGACAGGUGGGUGGGUGCACUGGCUGCUGGGAUCACGAUGUCAGAGGAGGGUAGGGGACAGGCAGCACUGGAUGCUGGUGGGAACAUCAGGGGAGGAAAGGGCACAGAUAGGAGAGCCUUUUAGGAUCCCACAGGAUUGUAGUCAAACAGGGAGAGAGGCCUGAGCCCCUGAUGGGCUGGGGAUGGCCACAUCAGAGUAUUUGCAGAGUCUUGUAAGCUUGACUUUUUAGGGUCCUGCCUUGUUAGGAAACUGACUUGGGUGGGGGGAAGCAGGCAGAUGUCUCUUCCCCAGAGGAGGUUCAAGAAGAUGAAGGGAAGAGGGGCAGCAUGGGUACAUUUCUUACCUGGACUAAAGGUGUUGAAGGUGUACUUCCAGGCCAAGCCAGCAGGUGGCGCAGGGGGACAGCACACAGACAACUAACUCCAGCUCCAGGGAGAAAAAUAACCAGGGGUGCGACCACAGGGUCUUUGGGAGAUUCUAGAAGAUGCUCAGUGAACCCAGACACAUCAACAAACAAGGAAACACAAGCGAGCUUCUCUCUAAAGGAAAUUCUGGUAAGUGAGAACGAGGGCAAGAGGAUGCACCCCAGAGAUUUUGACUUUAGCCGUGCAAUGGUCUUACCUGCCUACCUCACAAUAAGGACUGAGCCUAGAGUGUGUAUGUAGGGUGCUUCCAGGGAAGGGCACUCCAGGAAGAUUGGUUUGGGAGGGUGUUGGCAAUGGAUGUUAGAAUUCAUAUGGAGAAUGUUUCUCUUAAGAGAUGAAGGACUGCAGUGAGAAAAAAAUGAAGGGAAAAAUGAACACAAUCACCUACUAGGUGUUCUACCCAUAUUCUCUUUUUCUAUCCUCACACCCUUUCGGCGAGGCAAGUAUCACUGCCCCUGUUUUACAGAUGAGGGAAACUGAGGGUCAGGGAAAAUGAGUAACUAGCCCACAGUCACACAGCUAGUGAGUGGAAGUCUGAGGAUGCGAAUCUCUCUGAUCCCAAACCCUGUGCUCUUCCUACUAAAUCCUGCUGCAAGAGAAGACGGUGGGACUAUUGCUCCAGAGAAAAGAGCCUAUCCGAUGGGGCUCAUGGUCUAAAGGGGAAUGCGUCUGGCUUAUGUAAGACACGUGGCUGAUUGGUUGAGGCAGUGUGGUCGUGUCAUGGUCACCUUGGAAAGGGCCAGAAGAGGGGCUUGAGGCCAGACAAGAUCUAUUGUUGAAUACCUUAGGCAACCAAAUAGCCCUGUGAGACGGUGAGGUGGGGGAAGCUGGCCACUUCUGCAGCCAAGAACUUUUUCCCUCCCCCAGUGUCUGAGGUCUGGGCUCUCAUCCUCUGGGUGAGAAGGCUGUCAGCAGACAGGUUGGGAAGGUUGUUCAGAAGACAGUUGUUUGCAGGAGGAGAAAAAGAGAUGGUUGGUUGAGUUGAGAGCAGCCAAAGAGAUGAAGAGAUGGGAACUUAGGGUGAACAGAGACAGAUGCCUAAAGGGAGAACAGAGACGUUGUUCCUGAACAGAGGAAAGAGCAUGGGAGGAGCUGAGGCUGGAGCAGCGAGGGGUCCACCGGGUUGGUGGCAGGGAUGGUGAGCGGCUCUCGUGAGGAGUGGGAUGGGCAGCGGAGGGGCUCAGCACUGUGUCCCAGGGGCCAGCUGUCUGUCUGAGAUGACCACUGGGAACCAGGGAAGACAACAGGAGGGGACACAGAGCAGAAGGCCACCACAUAAAGUGACGGGGAAAGGAGAGGGGAGUGUGCAGGGUCCCCUUGGACAGGGAGGGGAGACCUGGUUCACGGCCAUCCCGGGGGAGAGAACGACUCUUCCUCAGGAGCUGUCUUUGCCAUUCCCACCACCAGUGUGGGCUCCCUGCCCUGGGGGCGCUGGCGGCUGCUUGAUGCCUUGGUGACUCUGAGCCAGCCACUCAGAAAGUCUCAAAAGAGAAGACACUGACUCCCCCAUCCAGAUCUGACACCCAGCAGUCGGCAGCUUCACGCCUCAUUUCUGAGAUGCCUACGAUGUUAACUGAGUCCCAUCCUGGGUUCGUCAGUAUCGGGGAUGCUCUAAAACACAGAUUGGAGGAUGAACUUAGGAGUUGCCUUUGAGCAGCGGGACCAGGAAGAUCACGUCCGACCCUAGUACAGAGAGCUGGGCGCACCGAGCGGCGGACAGAUGUCCACAAAGAGCCUAGAGCCAGCUUCUCCACGGAGCCUGGGGUGCCAGGGCGCGGUGCCAGACUGUAGGCAGACACAGCCCUGCCACGCUGAUUCAGGCAUCCUGGGGAGACAGACACGCCCAGGUUCACGGGAAAACUGACGUUCUUUCCAGGCUGGGUCUGCUCAUUAUGGGCAAACACACCAUUUGCCUUCCUUGUAAAACGCCUGAAUCAGCAGCUCAGUUCAGCCUCACAGGGGGAGUGGAGGGAGGAUGGGGAAAGCUCGCUCAGGCAAGAAGAAACACAGCUGCUGCCUCCACACCCACAUCCCUUCCCUCCAAGAACGUCAGAGCCAGGCCUCUGGCCGCUGAUUAGAGCCCUAGGCUGCCUGCUGCUGUGGGGAGUUGCCAAGGGAGUGACAGCAGCUGGAGCCAGCCAGCCACUGGCUAAAAGGUGACCUGCUGCAACCCAGGGCCUGCUCAGCCCCGGGGCACCAUCCCUCCGGUUCUCAAGUGCCGGUUAUUUCCCUGAAGCCACGUCAACCUCUAAGAUGCUGGAAGGAGAUGCCCAGUCCUCUCGGGGAAGCCAGCUGCAGGCGGUCUUGGAAGGUCAUGGGAAGAGUGACGUCUGUGAGCUGCACUUGGAACAUGCUCUAAUGUGGAAAGGUAAGAGGUGAUAGAGGCAAUGGAUGUGCUUGAAGAAACGCUGAAUGCGUGGAAUGGUACUCCAGUCCCUGCGUGUGCGUACAUGUGUGCGUGCACACACCCGGGAAGCAGAGGACCAGGCGGGGCUGGCAGGGUGGCCACCGUGUGCUGUGCAGCAGUCUACUCAGGGAUUCAGGUGCCUGGUCCACUCCCAUGCAGGAAGCCGGCAUGCACUAGUGAUGGGUUUCACGUGAAGCCACAGCGUACGGAUCUAUCCUAUAGGGCACCGACACCAGACCACACACAGCACAGAUCUAUCCUAUAGAGCACCGACACCAGACCACACAUGGGACAGCAGGAGAGCCACUGGACCCAGGCCUACCCCAGAGGGAAGGCUCAGCGGACAGCCGCCUUCCUGGGAGAGGCCUGAGGUUUCUGGAAAGGUUUUGAACCCUGCAUGUGACCCAUUCUCCUCUCUUCUCACAUCAAAGACCAAUGGGGUAUCCCCCUCUCCCUUGGAGUCCCAUGGAGCCUCGUGAAAACUCAGCAAAGGGCUCGGAAAGGAGAAGCAGCAAGAAAUCUGUUUCCAUGAGGCCUCAGGCCUGGUGUUCAUUUGAUUCGCCAUCCAGUUUCUUCCUGGUACCGGGCACAGGCCAGUUUCCCCAUCUGGCGGGGUGGCUGGCUCUCUGGGGAGGGUCUCAAAUGUGGGCUCACUCCCUCCUUCCAGAGACGCUCAGGUCCAAGCAGGUUAUACUCCCCCCAAAUCCAGCGACAUUCAGGCGGUGGAUGGAGGCGGCUCUGAUGCACAUGUAAUUACAUUGCACAGACGUACACGACACAGACAAUGGAUGGAUUGCGCAGGUAGUCACAAAGGAACCCGCAGACCCAGGCCACCACCGUGCAGACACACAGGGACGCACAGCUGAAGCGCAGGUGGCAGGAACAGUCCCAGCCCCCGUGUCCACAGUCCAUGCCAGCCCCCAGAGUUCUCUCUCCUUCCAGUGGAGGCUGUUCCUGAGAAAAAGUCCACCAGAGACUCCCACAUGCGCCGAUGGGAUCUUCAGAGGGAAGUCCUGGGAGAGACCCACCAGUGGGAGCCCAGGAGUGCCCUCUGCUGGACAUGAAGGGCUGGUGCAGCUCAGGACACCUCUGGCCGGCUGGAGGUGUCAGAGGGAGCUCAGAGUGUGAGUGUGAGAGAGUGUGUGUGUGUGUCUCAGAGGGUGGGAAGGGCUGAAAUAUAGACCUGACAGGGAUUCUGCACAGGAAAUGCUCAGUGUUGUGCAUUUUUCUGGGGUGGCUAGUGUACCAGAAAUUUCCACCAAGAACUCCUAAAGGUUCAGGCAAGCUCACCUGGGCACCUGGAGAGGUGGUGGACAUGCAGUGGCGAAGCCAUGCAAGGCACAUGCUGGAUUCUUGCUUUCUUCUCAGUCAGCUGCUCCCAGCACAUUUCCCCAAAACCUGGAUCACAGCCUCCCAGACUUCCUGCAUAGACCUCCUGGUUCCUAUUCCAGGCCAGGUCCUGAAGCCAUCUGCCAGGCCUCUGGCAGUGGGAGUGUUUGCGUCCCUCCCUCUCCUCCCCCAGGCAUCCUCUUUUUCUACAAAUUGGAGGCCUGUGACCCAGAAGCCCUGGGGCUCUCCCUCACUCCUGAAGGGCUCCGUCAAGUCUGUUCCUGCCUCAGAGCUAGCUCUAUCUCCAACUCACUGACCCAUGAGCCUCAGGCCAGGAAGGUGCAAAGGGGGGGGAGGGGCUCUGCUUAGGAGGAAGGAACCUGCUAGAGGGUGGGUAUGCCCACUUCACUGCCCCAAAUGCCAUGGCCAGGGCAGGAAGACCAAAUGGUCCGUUUGUGAGUAUAUCUGUGUGUGUGUGUGUGUGUGUGUGUGUGGGCGUAGAGGGUAGAGUUAAGGAUGGUGUUAGAGGGAAAAUGGGUAAAAGGACAGCGUAUACAAAGGAAUCAUUCCUGCCUGUAUAAACUGUUCCCCCUGAUGUAGAUGGUAAUGUAUUUAUAUAAUAAAAUUUAUUAGACCAGAUAAAACCAAA